CUGGUGGAGAAAACAAAGCAAGACUGGGGUACGGGGAGUGAGGGAAACAGGGGCGUGUGCCACUUUCAGAUGAGGUGUUUGGGAAGGUCCAUGUGGGAGAACGGCGUGAGUCAUUAAGGACACAAGGUGAGACUUCCGAGAAGGAACAGUCACAGGGCCCUGGCAGACAUGACAAGUCCCUGGAGACAUGGCUGUCACGCUUAUAGUGACACGGUCAGCACCUGGAAUCACAGGGAGGCCGGGCCGUCUGGGGCCUCACAGAUGACAGGGCGAAACCUCCAGAAAGUACACAGUGCGCUCUAUGGUGCUUGAUUGAGUCUGAGAAGGGCCGGAGCACAAGGGGUGUUUCGGAAGGGAGCCUGAGGGCCGGCACCCACGCUCUGUCUGCACCUGUCUCUGCCCCAAAGCCCCACCGCGGGAGCAAGGAUGCCCCGACUUCCAGUUAGGAACGCUCCAAUUCAAUGGGCCUUAACGUCUAGGGAACGUCAGAAUCGCCUGCGCUGCUUUUGAAGUCAUGCAGGUCGCAGGGCCCAUCCCCAGUGAUUCCGAUCCAGUAGAUUCAGGUGUGGGGCCCAAUGAUUACGUUUCCAACACUUCCCUCACGUGAUCCUUGUACACGCUCCACACUCUGAGCAGCGCUGCUUGCAUUUGCCCUCUCAUGACUAACUCUCAGCCCCUCCAGCUUUACUCUUCCCUCUGAUAUGACCUGCCUCCUCUUCUGUUUCUCCUUCAAAGCCCAGCUGGGGCCACUUCCUGGAGGACACCUUCCCUGACUUCCAAGGCAAGGCCCUUGGUGCCCUCCUCUGAGUAUUAGCCCCUUAGAUUUUAUCGCGUCUAAUUGCUGCGCUCACAUUUAUCUGCCUUUUGGAUUACAAGCACCUGAGGACAAUUUCUCCAGUUCCUACAAGCAGUAGGUCCAGGAAAAAAGACCAUGGGAAAACAAAAGAGUGCUGUUGGAGAGUGAAAAGUCUAAGCACUGGCGUAAUGGGCCCGUAAGACCAACCUGUUAGCUGACGCCACCUGGGAGAAGGCAGGCUUUGAGACACAGAGCAGGAUCAGCGGGCUCAAACAAAACUAAACCACAAGUCUUCCUAAGAAACUUACUCUGCAGAGGCAGCGCUUAAUUCUAGAGAAGACCUUUGCCUCCAUGUCAUUAGUCAAGAAGGUUCCAGAUGGGUUCCCGAGCCAGCAAUGUUUUGAACUUGGACAAAAGCCCUGAAUGACCUUGGGCAAAGUAUCUAGCCUAUCUGAUUUCCUUCUUUUCCUCAUUAAGAAAAACUAUUAUACUGGAUGGGGGAGGGGGCGGAGCACAAAACCAAGACAGCCAGAUCACUCAUUUUCCAGAUGCCAUGCACCUCCGUUUGCUCCUCCGUGAUGUCAGGGGGUCAGACUGCAGGCACUGGGUGCUAAGGGUCCCUGACACCACUCUCCUCUGCGGAACCCAGGCAGGCCCUCUGGCAGCAAUGUGAAAUGGGUAACAUUUGACUUCUUCAAGCUUCAUCCCACCUCCCUUUACCUGAUGCCCUGGAGCUGAACUCUGGAUGCCCCAGGACACUUGAGAAAGAAUGCUGGUGUUUUACUAACUGAUAUAGCAAGAUCACAUCCAGGACUUCAUGCUGAAUGUCAUUAAGUGUUCAGUGUUUGGAACUGCCUGCUCAUCCUGACUUGGAAGCAAGUUUAUUUAUUCAGCAUAAAAGGAAGUAUUUGAACUCACAGAGUGUGAUUCUCUGCAACUUUUAAAAGCAGCAAGACUGGACAGACAACUUUUAGGACAAUAAGACAUAUUUCUCUGUUCUGAAUAUUUUUUGCUAUCGCAACUAAAUUCUAUCUAUGUAGGAGCUCAACAAUAAAAAUGACUUAGUUUGGGCUAAUACAGGUAAUAAUUUAGAUGACAAAAAUGAGCCUGUUUUUUUUUUUUGCCUAAAAUUCUGUCUGUUGUCUUCUCCAUUCAACUGUUUAGUUUUUGAACCAUUCUUUUGUGAAACUGAACAUGUAAACAACAUUUUCAUGAAUAUCACCAUAUCACCUAGGUCAAUAGAAUAAACUCUCCCC